rnacentral:rRNA from 1 species
UAGGUGAACCUGCGGUGGGAUCAUUACAUGAUUGCUGACACGCUUGUGCGGACCGCUUGGGGAAUGCGGCCGGGGGGGGAGGGGCGCUUGGCGCCUGUCUGUGCUCUCUCUCUCUCUCCGGCUGGUGUGGCCUGGCUGGGGCCCUGGCUGCCUGCUUGUCUGCCUAGCGCAGGCGGCGGCGGCGGGGGGCCUGGCCGGCCGCUUUUGUCAAAGCAUGUUGGUUGGGCGUACUACUUGAACCGGCGUACACUUUUGCUCGUUGAGCAACUAACUGUAUACAACUAUCAAUGGUGGAUCACUUGGCUCUUGCAUCGAUGAAGAACGCAGCGAAUUGCGAAAAGUAUUGUGAAACGCACCGCGUGAAUCAUUGAGUCUUUGAACGCACAUUGCACUCUGCACUUGCUGCAGAGUAUGUCUAUUUGAGCACCAGCUUAACCCCCACACCGGCCCUCCGGGGCGGGUGGAUGUGAGCGCUCCAUUUUCGGACGAGGAUGGUCGCUUUAAAGACGGAGACAGGCCCGCGUCCUCCUUCCCCCUGGCGGGGAGGGGGCGGGGGCGCGUGGGGCGCGAUGCUGCUUGUUCUGGCCAGAAAAAGCACCCUCUGCAACAGUGGGCGCUGCCGGCCGGCGGGCGGGGCUGCGAGACGCGGGAAAAAUCAUUUGGUUGGACUUGUCCAUCACAUUCGUGUAUUCCGGCGUCGUUUGAGCAGGCUCGCAGCUGGCGGGGCAGGUGCCUGGCGGAGGCCGGUGCGGCCUGGGACGGGCGCGUCGGAGCCCUUGGUUGCUCGCGCACACCUUGCACACUAUAUAUUUUGGUCUCAGAUUAGGCAAGACUACCCGCUGAACUUAAGCAUAUC